AUUGAACGCUGGCGGCAUGCCUUACACAUGCAAGUCGAACGGUAACGGGCCUUCGGGUGCCGACGAGUGGCGAACGGGUGAGUAAUGUAUCGGAACGUACCUUUCAGUGGGGGAUAACGUAGCGAAAGUUACGCUAAUACCGCAUAUUCUGUGCGCAGGAAAGCAGGGGAUCGCAAGACCUUGCGCUGAUUGAGCGGCCGAUAUCAGAUUAGCUAGUUGGUGAGGUAAAGGCUCACCAAGGCGACGAUCUGUAGCGGGUCUGAGAGGAUGAUCCGCCACACUGGAACUGAGACACGGUCCAGACUCCUACGGGAGGCAGCAGUGGGGAAUUUUGGACAAUGGGCGAAAGCCUGAUCCAGCCAUUCCGCGUGCAGGAUGAAGGCCCUCGGGUUGUAAACUGCUUUUGUACAGAACGAAAAGGUUUCUACUAAUACUAGGAGCUCAUGACGGUACUGUAAGAAUAAGCACCGGCUACUACGUGCCAGCCGCCGCGGUAAUAC
rnacentral:rRNA from 1 species